rnacentral:rRNA from 1 species
UUAAGUGACUAAGCGUACACGGUGGAUGCCCUGGCAGUCAGAGGCGAUGAAGGACGUGCUAAUCUGCGAUAAGCGUCGGUAAGGUGAUAUGAACCGUUAUAACCGGCGAUUUCCGAAUGGGGAAACCCAGUGUGUUUCGACACACUAUCAUUAACUGAAUCCAUAGGUUAAUGAGGCGAACCGGGGGAACUGAAACAUCUAAGUACCCCGAGGAAAAGAAAUCAACCGAGAUUCCCCCAGUAGCGGCGAGCGAACGGGGAGCAGCCCAGAGCCUGAAUCAGUGUGUGUGUUAGUGGAAGCGUCUGGAAAGGCGCGCGAUACAGGGUGACAGCCCCGUACACAAAAAUGCACAUACUGUGAGCUCGAUGAGUAGGGCGGGACACGUGGUAUCCUGUCUGAAUAUGGGGGGACCAUCCUCCAAGGCUAAAUACUCCUGACUGACCGAUAGUGAACCAGUACCGUGAGGGAAAGGCGAAAAGAACCCCGGCGAGGGGAGUGAAAAAGAACCUGAAACCGUGUACGUACAAGCAGUGGGAGCACGCUUAGGCGUGUGACUGCGUACCUUUUGUAUAAUGGGUCAGCGACUUAUAUUCUGUAGCAAGGUUAACCGAAUAGGGGAGCCGAAGGGAAACCGAGUCUUAACUGGGCGUUAAGUUGCAGGGUAUAGACCCGAAACCCGGUGAUCUAGCCAUGGGCAGGUUGAAGGUUGGGUAACACUAACUGGAGGACCGAACCGACUAAUGUUGAAAAAUUAGCGGAUGACUUGUGGCUGGGGGUGAAAGGCCAAUCAAACCGGGAGAUAGCUGGUUCUCCCCGAAAGCUAUUUAGGUAGCGCCUCGUGAAUUCAUCUCCGGGGGUAGAGCACUGUUUCGGCAAGGGGGUCAUCCCGACUUACCAACCCGAUGCAAACUGCGAAUACCGGAGAAUGUUAUCACGGGAGACACACGGCGGGUGCUAACGUCCGUCGUGAAGAGGGAAACAACCCAGACCGCCAGCUAAGGUCCCAAAGUCAUGGUUAAGUGGGAAACGAUGUGGGAAGGCCCAGACAGCCAGGAUGUUGGCUUAGAAGCAGCCAUCAUUUAAAGAAAGCGUAAUAGCUCACUGGUCGAGUCGGCCUGCGCGGAAGAUGUAACGGGGCUAAACCAUGCACCGAAGCUGCGGCAGCGACGCUGAUGCGUUGUUGGGUAGGGGAGCGUUCUGUAAGCCUGUGAAGGUGUACUGUGAGGUAUGCUGGAGGUAUCAGAAGUGCGAAUGCUGACAUAAGUAACGAUAAAGCGGGUGAAAAGCCCGCUCGCCGGAAGACCAAGGGUUCCUGUCCAACGUUAAUCGGGGCAGGGUGAGUCGACCCCUAAGGCGAGGCCGAAAGGCGUAGUCGAUGGGAAACAGGUUAAUAUUCCUGUACUUGGUGUUACUGCGAAGGGGGGACGGAGAAGGCUAUGUUGGCCGGGCGACGGUUGUCCCGGUUUAAGCGUGUAGGCUGGUUUUCCAGGCAAAUCCGGAAAAUCAAGGCUGAGGCGUGAUGACGAGGCACUACGGUGCUGAAGCAACAAAUGCCCUGCUUCCAGGAAAAGCCUCUAAGCAUCAGGUAACAUCAAAUCGUACCCCAAACCGACACAGGUGGUCAGGUAGAGAAUACCAAGGCGCUUGAGAGAACUCGGGUGAAGGAACUAGGCAAAAUGGUGCCGUAACUUCGGGAGAAGGCACGCUGAUAUGUAGGUGAAGUCCCUCGCGGAUGGAGCUGAAAUCAGUCGAAGAUACCAGCUGGCUGCAACUGUUUAUUAAAAACACAGCACUGUGCAAACACGAAAGUGGACGUAUACGGUGUGACGCCUGCCCGGUGCCGGAAGGUUAAUUGAUGGGGUCAGCGCAAGCGAAGCUCUUGAUCGAAGCCCCGGUAAACGGCGGCCGUAACUAUAACGGUCCUAAGGUAGCGAAAUUCCUUGUCGGGUAAGUUCCGACCUGCACGAAUGGCGUAAUGAUGGCCAGGCUGUCUCCACCCGAGACUCAGUGAAAUUGAACUCGCUGUGAAGAUGCAGUGUACCCGCGGCAAGACGGAAAGACCCCGUGAACCUUUACUAUAGCUUGACACUGAACAUUGAGCCUUGAUGUGUAGGAUAGGUGGGAGGCUUGGAAGUGUGGACGCCAGUCUGCAUGGAGCCGACCUUGAAAUACCACCCUUUAAUGUUUGAUGUUCUAACGUUGACCCGUAAUCCGGGUUGCGGACAGUGUCUGGUGGGUAGUUUGACUGGGGCGGUCUCCUCCUAAAGAGUAACGGAGGAGCACGAAGGUUGGCUAAUCCUGGUCGGACAUCAGGAGGUUAGUGCAAUGGCAUAAGCCAGCUUGACUGCGAGCGUGACGGCGCGAGCAGGUGCGAAAGCAGGUCAUAGUGAUCCGGUGGUUCUGAAUGGAAGGGCCAUCGCUCAACGGAUAAAAGGUACUCCGGGGAUAACAGGCUGAUACCGCCCAAGAGUUCAUAUCGACGGCGGUGUUUGGCACCUCGAUGUCGGCUCAUCACAUCCUGGGGCUGAAGUAGGUCCCAAGGGUAUGGCUGUUCGCCAUUUAAAGUGGUACGCGAGCUGGGUUUAGAACGUCGUGAGACAGUUCGGUCCCUAUCUGCCGUGGGCGCUGGAGAACUGAGGGGGGCUGCUCCUAGUACGAGAGGACCGGAGUGGACGCAUCACUGGUGUUCGGGUUGUCAUGCCAAUGGCACUGCCCGGUAGCUAAAUGCGGAAGAGAUAAGUGCUGAAAGCAUCUAAGCACGAAACUUGCCCCGAGAUGAGUUCUCCCUGACUCCUUGAGAGUCCUGAAGGAACGUUGAAGACGACGACGUUGAUAGGCCGGGUGUGUAAGCGCAGCGAUGCGUUGAGCUAACCGGUACUAAUGAACCGUGAGGCUUAACCUU